rnacentral:rRNA from 1 species
AUUGAACGCUGGCGGCAGGCUUAACACAUGCAAGUCGAGCGGAGAUGAGGUGCUUGCACCUUCUCUUAGCGGCGGACGGGUGAGUAAUGCUUAGGAAUCUGACUUUUAGUGGGGGACAACAGUCCGAACGGAACGCUAAUACCGCAUACGCCCUACGGCGGAAAGCAGGGGAUCUUCGGACCUUGCUCUAAUAGAUGAGCGUAAGUCGGAUUAGCUAGUUGGUGGGGUAAAGGCCUACCAAGGCGACGAUCUGUAGCGGGUCUGAGAGGAUGGUCCGCCACACUGGGACUGAGACACGGCCCAGACUCCUACGGGAGGCAGCAGUGGGGAAUAUUGGACAAUGGGCGGAAGCCUGAUCCAGCCAUGCCGCGUGUGUGAAGAAGGCCUUUUGGUUGUAAAGCACUUUAAGCGAGGAGGAGGCUACCUGGAUUAAUACUCUAGGAUAGUGGACGUUACUCGCAGAAUAAGCACCGGCUAACUCUGUGCCAGCCGCCGCAGUAAAAC